rnacentral:rRNA from 1 species
AUGGAACUGAUAUGUUUUAGCGGCGGACGGGUGAGUAACGCGUGAGCAACCUUUCCUUGACAGGGGGAUAACGCAUCGAAAGAUGUGCUAAUACCGCGUAAGACCACAGCUUCACAUGGAGCGGGGGUCAAAGGAGCAAUCCGGAUAAAGAUGGGCUCGCGUCCGAUUAGCUAGUUGGUGAGAUAACAGCCCACCAAGGCGACGAUCGGUAGCCGACCUGAGAGGGUGAUCGGCCACAUUGGAACUGAGAGACGGUCCAGACUCC